UAAGCCAUGCGAGUCGAGAGGGUUCAGACCCUCGGCGGACUGCUCAGUAACACGUGGAUAACCUGCCCUAAGGUGGAGCAUAACCCCGGGAAACUGGGGAUAAUACUCCAUAGAUUAGAGACACUGGAAUGUUCUUUAGUCGAAAGUUCUGGCGCCUUAGGAUGGAUCUGCGGUCGAUUAGGUUGUUGUUGGGGUAACGGCCCAACAAGCCUGUAAUCGAUACGGGUUGUGGGAGCAAGAGCCCGGAGAUGGAAUCUGAGACACGAUUCCAGGCCCUACGGGGCGCAGCAGGCGCGAAAACUUUACAAUGCAGGAAACUGUGAUAAGGGAACUCCGAGUGCCCGUAUACGCGGGCUGUCCAGGUGUUUAAAAAUCAUCUGAAGAAAGGGCCGGGCAAGACCGGUGCCAGCCGCCGCGGUAAUACCGGCGGCUCGAGUGGUGGCCACUAUUAUUGGGCUUAAAGCGUCCGUAGCUGGACCGAUAAGUCUCUUGGGAAAUCCGCCGGCUCAACCGGCGGGCGUCUAAGGGAUACUGUUAGUCUAGGGACCGGGAGAGGUGAGAGGUACUCCGGGGGUAGGAGUGAAAUCCUGUAAUCCCCGGGGGACCACCGAUGGCGAAGGCAUCUCACCAGAACGGCUCCGACAGUGAGGGACGAAAGCUGGGGGAGCGAACCGGAUUAGAUACCCGGGUAGUCCCAGCCGUAAACUAUGCGCGUUAGGUGUACUGGUGACCACGAGUCACCGGGGUGCCGAAGGGAAACCGUGAAACGUGCCGCCUGGGAAGUACGGUCGCAAGGCUGAAACUUAAAGGAAUUGGCGGGGGAGCACCACAACGGGUGGAGCCUGCGGUUUAAUUGGACUCAACGCCGGAAAUCUCACCGGAUAGGACAGACAUAUGAUAGUCGGGCUGAAGACUCUACUUGAUGAUCUGAGAGGAGGUGCAUGGCCGUCGUCAGUUCGUACUGUGAAGCAUCCUGUUUAGUCAGGCAACGAGCGAGACCCA
rnacentral:rRNA from 1 species